GUGAAUCAUCAAAUCUUUGAACGCAAAUUGCACUCUCCUCGGAGAGUAUGCCUGUUUGAGGGUGAGCCUAUGAAAAAUCGACAUCGUCGCUGUUUCGCGUUGGCGUUCGUCGGUAAUUGGUUUAUCUUAAAUCCUUUUGGGUUUUAAGCGACUUAAAAUCUUCUUUUUGGUUCCAUGAACGUUUCUAAGAUUUAUGUCUUUACACGUUUAAGGUAUCGAUUUUUAUUAGACGGGACU
rnacentral:misc_RNA from 1 species